rnacentral:rRNA from 1 species
AUUGAACGCUGGCGGCAGGCCUAACACAUGCAAGUCGAACGAGUGGCGGACGGGUGAGUAAUGUCUGGGAAACUGCCUGAUGGAGGGGGAUAACUACUGGAAACGGUAUCUAAUACCGCAUACCAUCAGAUGUGCCCCGAUGGGAUUAGCUUGUUGGUGGGGUAACGGCUCACCAAGGCGACGAUCCCUAGCUGGUCUGAGAGGAGGACCAUCCACACUGGAACUGGUACACUGUCCAGACUCCUACGGGAUGCAGCAGUGGGGAAUAUUGCACAAUGGGCGCAAGCCUGAUGCAGCCAUGCCGCUGGUAUGAAGAAGGCCUUCGGGUUUUAAAGUACUUUCAGCGGGGAGGCGUUACCCGCAGAAGAAGCACCGGCUAACUCCGUGCCAGCCGCCGCGGUAAUUC